AUUCCGUGGUGAAGACAUUUCCGUAGAAGGUCCUUGAAUCUCUCCCAUGCGUCUGAUACCACUUCAUCGUCUUCUUGAUGAAACGUCAUCAUUUCAUUUUUAAUUUU